UACGUAGGGUGCAAGCGUUAAUCGGAAUUACUGGGCGUAAAGCGUGCGCAGGCGGUUGUGUAAGACAGAUGUGAAAUCCCCGGGCCCAACCUGGGAACUGCAUUUGUGACUGCACAGCUGGAGUGCGGCAGAGGGGGAUGGAAUUCCGCGUGUAGCAGUGAAAUGCGUAGAUAUGCGGAGGAACACCGAUGGCGAAGGCAAUCCCCUGGGCCUGCACUGACGCUCAUGCACGAAAGCGUGGGGAGCAAACAGG
rnacentral:rRNA from 1 species